rnacentral:tRNA from 1 species
AAGAUUUUAAGUUAAAUAAACUAUUAAUUUUCAAAAUUAAAUUUAAAAACUUAAAUUUUUAAAUCUUA